AACGAACGCUGGCGGCAGGCCUAACACAUGCAAGUCGAACGCUCCGCAAGGGGAGUGGCGCACGGGUGAGUAACACGUGGGAACCUACCUUCUGGUACGGAACAACCAAGGGAAACUUUGGCUAAGACCGUACACGACCUCCGGGUGAAAGAUUGAUCGCCGGAAGAGGGGCCCGCGUCCGAUUAGGUAGUUGGUGAGGUAACGGCUCACCAAGCCUUCGAUCGGUAGCUGGUCUGAGAGGAUGACCAGCCACACUGGGACUGAGACACGGCCCAGACUCCUACGGGAGGCAGCAGUGGGGAAUAUUGGACAAUGGGCGCAAGCCUGAUCCAGCCAUGCCGCGUGAGUGACGAAGGCC
rnacentral:rRNA from 1 species